CGGACGGGUGGGUAAUGUCUGGGAAACUGCCCGAUGGAGGGGGAUAACUACUGGAAACGGUAGCUAAUACCGCAUAACGUCGCAAGACCAAAGAGGGGGACCUUCGGGCCUCUUGCCAUCGGAUGUGCCCAGAUGGGAUUAGCUAGUAGGUGGGGUAACGGCUCACCUAGGCGACGAUCCCUAGCUGGUCUGAGAGGAUGAUCAGCCACACUGGGACUGAGACACGGCCCAG
rnacentral:rRNA from 1 species